CUUCCGCUCCUCACCGCACAGAGGAGUGGAACGAGGCCCCGGCGCUCUCUGCCCUGACUGCGCCCGGUCCUCCCCCAUGGCCGCGCGGGCCCGCACACUCGCGUCGGUCAGUCACUCCGGGCUGCGGUGCCGGACGGGUUGAGGGUCCCGUCGGGCGC
rnacentral:ncRNA from 1 species